rnacentral:rRNA from 1 species
UACCAGCUCUCCGAGUGGUAGGGAUGAUUAUUGGGCUUAAAGCGUCCGUAGCCGGCUUAGCAAGUUUCCUGUUAAAUUCAGUCGACCUAAUCGUUGAGCCGCGGGAAAUACUACUAGGCUAGGAGGCGGGAGAGGUCGACGGUACUUCUGGGGUAGGGGUGAAAUCCUAUAAUCCCGGGAGGACCACCAGUGGCGAAGGCUGUCGACUAGAACGCGCUCGACGGUGAGGGACGAAAGCUGGGGGAGCGAACCGGAUUAGAUACCCGGGUAGUCCCAGCUGUAAACGAUGCGGGCUAGGUGUUGGGGUGGCUACGUGCCACUUCAGUGCCGCAGGGAAGCCAUUAAGCCCGCCGCCUGGGGAGUACGGCCGCAAGGCUGAAACUUAAAGGAAUUGGCGGGGGAGCACCACAAGGCGUGAAGCUUGCGGUUC